rnacentral:piRNA from 1 species
UCAAGAUUGUCUAUCUCUAGUGUAAAU